rnacentral:snRNA from 1 species
AGGACCAUGUUAAUCUUUUCUGUCCGAUAAAAUUGGAACAUUCAGAGAAGAUUAGCAUGCUCAUGCCUAAAGAUGAAUCUACUCAAUAGUGUCCAGUGUGGUCUUAUU